rnacentral:lncRNA from 1 species
UUUGUCAAAGGUUUGAACGUGGGACUUUAGUUAGCAGCACUCCAGAUGGUGUCUUAUAAUAAGACUUUUCAGGAAGUGGUAGAGCAUGUAAGGAGUGUGAAGGAGGUGAUAGUUUCAAUGAAUCCUUCUCUAAGGGGUUGAUCCUCAAGUAUACUCUCAAAACCCCUAUUUAGACAACGAUGCAGGUUUCAUCUGAGGGUCCGUCAAAGGUCAGCCAACAAUCAUCAAAUUAAAAAGGUUACUCUGUAUUUUUAAUUUUAGCAUAUUGACCUACAUUGGACAGGUUUUCUAUGAGUAUGGUCAAGUGGUACCCCAAAUUCAGACAUGGUAAAUAGGUAGUUCAACAACAGGCUUCUCGAGCCUUAGUUCCAACAUGUAGGAGAUGUGGCUCGUAUGGUAGACAUCAUCCUCAAUUUGGAUGGGGUGGUUACACAACAGAUAGAUAUGGUAUCCAUCCUAUUUGAGAUCAU